UCAUGGCAACGCCAGACUUCCCUGAGUGAAGCUGGGGAUCAAACCUGCAUCCUCAUGGUUACUAGUCAGAUUCGUUUCUGCUGAGCCACAAUGGGGACUCCUCUUUUUAUUUUCUAUGACAUAGUGCAGCCGUGCAGAAGGAGUACAGUUUUGUCCAAUUUUGCUUCAGAUUUCUCCUCCUCUUCCAAUCUUUGGCUUCUCUAGAAACUUCUAAGUAGAGAAGAUUAAAAUAGGGAUUAAUACAUUUCUAUUUUCUAGAAGCUGUUUAGAUCUAGAAGAUCAUGUUUCCUUUGCCGCUGUUUAUGUAAGAUGUUUGUAAAUUGAGCAAGACUUAAAGGAAUCAUUGGUACUCCAUGAAGCAUUUUCCAUGGAAUAAACCACUCUUCUGGACAGUCUUUUUGCAAAACUGAUAUUUGUGACCCUCAAGGUAUAUACCAGUUCAACUUUGAGAAUACAUGUCAAGACAGCCUCUCUCCCCAAACGAAAAAACAAAGCAAAAACCUUUCAGUGGAUGUUAAUCAGAAACAGCAUUAAGUAAGUAACUUUUAUUUCCCUGCCCUUUCCACUUUUUUGUCUUUGUGGCUGGUUGGAAGGAAGAGGGAAGGGGCAAGAUGCUUGAAAUGACAUAUCAUGCAUUUGUGUUUUUUUAAAAUUAUAGUUGAUUUACAAUGUUGUGCCAAUUUCUGCUGCACAACAAAGCAACCCGGUCAUACAUUUACAUACAUUCUCUUUCUUAUAUUAUCU